AUACGGAGGAUGCAAGCGUUAUCCGGAUUUAUUGGGUUUAAAGGGUGCGUAGGCGGGAAGAUAAGUCAGUGGUGAAAUCCUGCAGCUUAACUGUAGAAUUGCCGUUGAUACUAUUUUUCUUGAGUGUGGUCAAGGAAGGCGGAAUGUGUAAUGUAGCGGUGAAAUGCUUAGAUAUUACACAGAACACCGAUUGCGAAGGCAGCUUUCUGGGCCGUUACUGACGCUGAUGCACGAAAGCGUGGGGAUCGAACAGGAUUAGAUACCCCCGUA
rnacentral:rRNA from 1 species